GUUUCUGGUUGCGGGACAUCACCGUGUUGUUGUGUUUUGUCGAGUGAAAACUGCGGUUCUGGUCCUGCUGGGCUCCAAGUCUGAGCUUCUGCUGCAGCCACAGCAUCUUCUCCAUCCGCAUCCUGAGAGUGGAGGACGGCGAGCCGCCACCAGUCCACGCCGUCAGCGCGUUGUGUCUGUGCCACCUGGCAGGCUCUGAGCGCAGCUCCAGGACCCAGAACAAAGGAGAGGACCUGAAGGAGGCUGGAAACAUCAACGCCUCGCUGCUCAUUCUGGGCAAAUGCAUCAAGGCUCUGCAGCACAACCAGCACACUG